UGGGAUUCGAUGAGAAAAUAAAUGAAG
rnacentral:piRNA from 1 species